AUUGAACGCUGGCGGCAUGCCUUACACAUGCAAGUCGAACGGCAGCACGGGUGCUUGCACCUGGUGGCGAGUGGCGAACGGGUGAGUAAUACAUCGGAACAUGUCCUGUAGUGGGGGAUAGCCCGGCGAAAGCCGGAUUAAUACCGCGUACGAUCUACGGAUGAAAGCGGGGGACCUUCGGGCCUCGCGCUAUAGGGUUGGCCGAUGGCUGAUUAGCUAGUUGGUGGGGUAAAGGCCUACCAAGGCGACGAUCAGUAGCUGGUCUGAGAGGACGACCAGCCACACGGGGACUGAGACACGGCCCAGACUCCUACGGGAGGCAGCAGUGGGGAAUUUUGGACAAUGGGCGAAAGCCUGAUCCAGCAAUGCCGCGUGUGUGAAGAAGGCCUUCGGGUUGUAAAGCACUUUUGUCCGGAAAGAAAUACUUGGCCCUAAUACGGUCGGGGGAUGACGGUACCGGAAGAAUAAGCACCGGCUAACUACGUG
rnacentral:rRNA from 1 species